AACGCUUUAGGCGUGCCUAACACAUGCAAGUCGAGCGAGAAAGCCCGCAAGGGUGAGUACAGCGGCGCACGGGUGCGUAACACGUGGGUAAUCUGCCCUGGAGCCCGGAAUAACUCCCCGAAAGGGGUGCUAAUGCCGGAUGAGACCACGGACGCUUCGGCGUCUGGGGGAAAAGGUGGCCUCUGCAAGCAAGCUAUCACUUCAGGAUGAGCCCGCGGCCCAUCAGCUAGUUGGCGGGGUAAAGGCCCACCAAGGCGACGACGGGUAGCUGGUCUGAGAGGACGAUCAGCCACACUGGAACUGAGACACGGUCCAGACUCCUACGGGAGGCAGCAGUGGGGAAUCUUGCGCAAUGGGCGAAAGCCUGACGCAGCGACGCCGCGUGAGGGAGGAAGGCCUUCGGGUUGUAAACCUCUUUCAGGAGGGACGAAGCUACUCGGGUGAAUAGCCCAGAGGGUGACGGUACCUCCAGAAGAAGCCCCGGCUAACUACGUGCCAGCAGCCGCGGUAAUACGUAGGGGGCAAGCGUUGUCCGGAUUUACUGGGCGUAAAGAGCGUGUAGGCGGCCAAACAGGUCCGUUGUGAAAACUGGAGGCUUAACCUCCAGACGUCGACGGAAACCGUGUGGCUAGAGUCCGGAAGAGGAGAGUGGAAUUCCUGGUGUAGCGGUGAAAUGCGCAGAUAUCAGGAAGAACACCAAUGGCGAAGGCAGCUCUCUGGGACGGUACUGACGCUGAGACGCGAAAGCGUGGGGAGCGAACAGGAUUAGAUACCCUGGUAGUCCACGCCGUAAACGAUGGGUGCUAGGUGUGGGAGGUGUCGACUCCUUCCGUGCCGUAGCUAACGCAUUAAGCACCCCGCCUGGGGAGUACGGCCGCAAGGCUAAAACUCAAAGGAAUUGACGGGGCCCCGCACAAGCAGCGGAGCAUGUGGUUUAAUUCGAUGCAACGCGAAGAACCUUACCAGGGCUUGACAUGCACUGGAAAACCGUAGAAAUACGGUCCUCCUUCGGGACCAGUGCACAGGUGGUGCAUGGCUGUCGUCAGCUCGUGUCGUGAGAUGUUGGGUUAAGUCCCGCAACGAGCGCAACCCCUGUCCCAUGUUGCCAGCGAGUAAUGUCGGGGACUCAUGGGAGACUGCCGGUGACAAAUCGGAGGAAGGUGGGGAUGAUGUCAAGUCAUCAUGCCCCUUAUGUCCUGGGCUACACACGUGCUACAUUGGCCGGUACAAAGGGCUGCAAACCUGUGAGGGUGAGCGAAUCCCAAAAAGCCGGUCCCGGUUCGGAUUGAAGGCUGAAACUCGCCUUCAUGAAGGCGGAGUUGCUGGUAAUCGCGGAUCAGCAACG
rnacentral:rRNA from 1 species